rnacentral:rRNA from 1 species
AUUGACGUGAAUCGAAGCGGAGUGCUUGCACAAAGCCGGACUUCACUGAUUGGAUUUCCCUCUAGUGGCGAAACGGGUGAGUAACACGUGGGUACCUGCCCUCAAGUUGGGGGAUAUCAUCUGGAAACGGAUAGUAAUACCGAAUGUGAUCUGAGGAUUAAAGGAGCCUUUAAAGCUUCGCUUGAGGAUGGGCCUGCGCUGUAUUAGCUUGUUGGUGGGGUAAUGGCCUACCAAGGCUACGAUGCAUAGCCGAACUGAGAGGUUGAUCGGCCACACUGGGACUGAGACACGGCCCAGACUCCUACGGGAGACAGCAGUUAGGAAUAUUCGUCAAUGGGGGAAACCCUGAACGAGCAAUGCCGCGUGAAUGAUUAGAAGGCCCUAUGGGUUGUAAAAUUCUGUUGUUUGGAAAGAACAUCGAGAGUAGGAAAUGACUCUCGACUGACGGUACCAUUCAAGAAAGCCACGGCUAACUACGUGCCAGCAGCCGC